GACAGAGGAGCCAAGCGUUGUCCGGAGUAACUGGGCGUAAAGCGCACGCAGGUGGUUCUGUGCGUGGGGUGUGAAAGCUCUCGGCUUAACUGAGAGAGGCCACCUCAUACGGCAGAACUGGAGCCCUGCAGAGGUCCACGGAAUUGCCGGUGUAGUGGUGAAAUGCGUAGAGAUCGGCAGGAACAGCCCAGGGGGAAACCAGUGGACUGGGCAGGCGCUGACACUCAUGUG
rnacentral:rRNA from 1 species